rnacentral:rRNA from 1 species
UACGUAGGGGGCAAGCGUUGUCCGGAAUCAUUGGGCGUAAAGCGCGUGUAGGCGGCCAGAAAAGUCCGCUGUGAAAACUCGAGGCUCAACUUCGAGCUGUCGGUGGAAACUUUCUGGCUAGAGUCCGGAAGAGGAGAGUGGAAUUCCUGGUGUAGCGGUGAAAUGCGCAGAUAACAGGAAGAACACCAACGGCGAAGGCAGCUCGCUGGGACGGUACUGACGCUGAGACGCGAAAGCGUGGGGAGCGAACAGG